AGACGCCUAGUUUAUAUAGAACGUUGUCUUGUGGCGACAGAGGAAGCUGGUGCUGCCGUCUA
rnacentral:tRNA from 1 species